rnacentral:rRNA from 1 species
CAGAAUCAACGCUGGCGGCGUGCCUCAGACAUGCAAGUCGAACGAUUAAAGCUCUCUUCGGAGAGUGUAUAGAGUGGCGCACGGGUGAGUAACACGUAAGUAAUCUACCCUCGAGUGGGGAAUAACAACCGGAAACGGUUGCUAAUACCGCAUAAUGCAGCGGCACCGCAAGGUGACAGUUGUUAAAGAUUUAUCGCUUGAGGAGGAGCUUGCGGCAGAUUAGCUAGUUGUAGGGUAACGGCUUACCAAGGCUACGAUCUGUAACCGGUCUAAGAGGACGGUCGGUCACACUGACACUGAAUAACGGGUCAGACUCCUACGGGAGGCAGCAGUCGGGAAUUUUGGGCAAUGGGCGAAAGCCUGACCCAGCAACGCCGCGUGAAGGAUGAAGUAUUUCGGUAUGUAAACUUCGAAAGAAUAGGAAGAAUUAAUGACGGUACUAUUUAUAAGGUCCGGCUAACUACGUG